rnacentral:lncRNA from 1 species
UCUCUUUCCACUACACUGCACGGCCUCUGGGUGUUAGCAUUUCCAGGUCCCACCUACUUCCAAAUAUCUAAGGUCAAAUAGGACUUUGGAUUCCAAAUAUGCACACUGGGACUGCCUGUUCCCUUCUCUCCAUUCACAGGUAGGAAAGAGACAAAUGGAAGCAAAAUAGCAAAAUGGUGAAGAGGAGGGUUCUAGAGGCAGAGAGCCCUGCAGUCCUGAGUCCUGAGUCCACCGUUUAACAGAGUGACUUUGCUCAGCCUGUGGAUUAUAAUGAAACUUGCCUGUAAGUUAUAGGAUCCAGUUUUUUAGGUGGUAGCAACAUGCUCAAGGAAGAUGCAGCCCCUUCCUCCAGCCUGAGAGAAUAAAGCAUCAUUGGCUUAUGCCAACCAUGGCAAUCCCAUUCCCCUUUUCUCAUGAUUGAUUUGGGAAUGGGCAAGUGACCCAGUUCUAACCAAUGAGACGAAAGAAAAAGUCUAUUGGUCAGCUUAUCUCAGAAGAUUUUUGUUUCCUGCUAUAAAGAGAAACAGUAAGUUCCUUCCUGCCUGACUUAAAUGCAAUUGUGUGCAAACAUGUUACUUGGAGCUACAGCAACGAUUCUGUGACCAUGAGGCAAUAAGCCAAGGACAAAGGAUAGAAUAGUGAAAAGACAGAGUAUUGGAUUUUUUUUAUGAUAUCAUUGAACUGCUGGACCAAUGUGGAACCAUCUACUUUUAGUCUUUCAUGAUUUGUGAGAUGAUUAAACAUUUCUUUUUUUUAGCCAUUAUUUCUUUUCUGUUACUUGCAACUGAAGACAUCCUACAUAAUACAAACACUAUCCAACUUGGAUUGUAAUUUAUCUAUUUUCAGAUCUGUGUGUUCUGUCUUACUGAUUUUUGUAUUCUUAGCACUGAGUAUAAGGCUGCUACUUAGUAAGACUUCAAUAAAUGACUGUUUAAAAAGGUCUUAGAGGAUUUAAAAAAAAUUCUGAAGUUGCUGAAAUAUGAAGACCAGGAACCAAUUUCAGGUUCUAUAAAUUUCUCGCUUCCUUCACUUCUGGAGUAGUCUUCAUUUCUGUCUGAUUCUACCUUUACUAAAAUGAAUGAAUGAUUGAGAAAUACGAAAAAUGGCUGGUAUAGUGGCUACUGCUGAGAAGUAUCUCUUGGAAAUUCCCGGAAAUUCCAUCAGUCACAUUCAGACCUAACUCUCUGAUGAUCAAUGUUUCUGAACUCAAACCAGUGUACAUAAGCAGUGGACUAUUUAAAGUGGUAUUAGCCUAGAAUAUCUAGGACCCAUGUUUUAUGCAUUCAGUAAGCGUUUGUUUAAUGUCUGUUAUCUACCAGGCACAUUAUUAUGCAUUGGGCAUAUAGAGAUGACCAACCACACGGCCUCAAUCCUUGAAAAGCUUACAGUAACCAAAUAGGGUUAACGGCCUAAAGAGAGGUAAUUACAAGUCUUACACUCAGUCUUCUUAGCAUAGUAUGGUGCUACCUCUGAGUUAAUUAAGAUAACAAAAUUCCUAGAUAUAUAUCUUUGAUGAAACGGUUUCCAUGAAAACUUUCCAAGUUUGGUCCCUCCCCGGCUGAGUUCAUUUUGGAAGGUGACUUUCUGCUCUCAUCACCUAAGGUCCUUAACACGUAUCCUGUGUUCUCCGGAGGCACCCCUUGCCCAGAGUGUGCCCUCUGCAUGGUUCCCCCAGAACACCUAUUUCAAAGGAAAAGAAGUUGGAUCAUUCAGUGAAGAUUUGGGGGGCCACUUUUCUACGUGGGAGGAUUAUGAGUAUUACCUUCCUCCCCUAUGUAUUAGUAAAUAUAAAGAAAACAUAAAUUAACCCCCUUUCUGGCUGGGCACGGUGGCUCACGCCUGUCAUCCCGCACUAUGGGAAUCCGAAGUGGGCGGAUCACUUGAGGUCAGCAGUUUGAGACCAGCCUGGCCAACAUGGCAAAACCCCGUCUCUACUAAAAUAUAAAAAUUAGCCAGAUGUGGUUGCACACAUCUCUAGUCCCAGCUACUCGGGAGGCUGAGGCACAAGAACUGCUUGAGCCUGGGAGCAAGGGUUGCAGUGAGCUGAGAUUGUGCCAUUGCACUCCAGCCUGGGUGACAGAGCAAGACUCUGUCUCAAAAAAAUAAAAUAAAAUAAAAAUAAUUUAGACCCCAUUCUUCUUAGAUAACCAUGACUUCUGAAGGAGGUCAGAGCUCUUGUGCUCUGCAUCUCUGCUCCAUCAGCCUCAAGGCCACCUUUCAGGUCCACAUGAAAUAUAAGUGCACAAAGGCACCAGACUUAGCAUUAUUAGUUUCCCCCACUGGUCUGAUUUUUGUAGAAAUUGCCAGGAACUGAUUUUCUGCCCUUCCUUCCUAACAGACAAGCCUUCCAGCCCUCCCUGACACAGCUCUUCCCUAUCUCCUACUCUCUGGUCAUCAAGCUUUUAGAGAUGCCCUGGCCUUCUCUAGUUGCCCCAGCUGUAUUUUUUCUUCUUGGGAAUGCGUUGAUUCCAGAGCCUGACUGGGAAUAAAUCUCAGCUCCUCCAUUUAGCAGUUAUGGGAUUCAAGUUACUCUUACUCCCAGGGACUCAGUUUCUGCACCUGUAAAAUGGAGAUUUACCACCUUUCGUUCCAGCAUUACUGAUAUUGUUUGGCUCUGUGUCCCUACCCAAAUCCCAUCUCGAAAAUUAAUCCCUAUAGUCCCCACCUGUUGAGGGUCCUGGUGGGAGGUAAUUGGAUCCUGGGGGCGGCUUUUCCCAUGCUGUUCUCGUGAUAGUGAGUAAGUUCUCACGAGAGCUGACGGUUUUAUAAGUGUUUGACAGUUUCUCCUUCACACGCUCUCUCUUCUGUCUCCUGCCAUCAUGUAAGAUGUGCCUGCUUCUCCUCCUCUCAUGAUUGCAAGUCUCCUGAGGCCUCCUCAGCCAUGAAGAACUGUGAGUCAAUUAAACCUCUUUCUUUUAUAAAUUACCCAGUCUUGGGUAUUUCUUUGUAGCAGUGUGAAAACAGACUAAUGCAAUUACCAUAAUGGGCUUUCAAUUGAUGAACUUGCAUCACUGACUCCUCAACACGCAGCUGACUUCCUACUGUAAUUGUUCACCAUGCAGACAUUUGUGGAGCCACAAGCAUAACCAUCAUGGUAUUUAAGAUUCGUUCUGUAUCUGGAUUUAUGCAGUUUAUGAAAAAUCAUCAAACUGUCCUUAUUAUUGGUGUCUUUUUUCUGUAUAUAUGUUAUGCUUCAAUAAAAUAUUUACUUAAAAUUAUUUUAGGUAUGUUAAACUCACUACACCAGACAGGGCUUACCUUCUCACUCUGCUGUCUUUAUCCCUCUCUCUAAUUAAAAGGAUUACAC